AACGGUGUGAUGAACAUUUCUAAGUUUGCCUUACGUUUCCUUAUGCAGGGAACAAAGAGACAAAUAAUCUUUGCCUUGUGUAUAUAUAUAUAUUGUCCAUUCAAUGUGUAUCUCACGGCAAAUACCAGAUGAUGAGUUGUAUAAUAUUUUGUUGCAAAUGUUGUUCAGUCAUCAGCUUUGUUAGCAUCUGUCCGUCCGUCUGUCACUGCGCAAACAGUCCCGAUGAAACACUCCACAAACAUGCUGCACUGAAUACACUGUAUCUUGCUAUUAUAUCAAAGCGGUGAAGGAGUAUUAUUUUUUUAUUUUUUUUUUGGGAUACGGGAAUACUAUCUAUUGGCGGGUUCUUCCCCCAAUGGAGUUUUAUGUCCAUCAUUUUACAAACUCCUUGUGAGAACCGGCUGGUCCACAUCGUUUGUAACAUUUACAUGAAAUAGGUUUACAACAGUGUGACAUACACGUCUAGCACUGACUCAUUAGUUUACUGUACUGCAUCUCCGUGAUACUUCAUCGACAUCGGCGCUCACGCAGCUUUGUCUUUUAGCAUCGACUACAAAACGUUCAUCAUUCGUCAUAUAAGCAAAGCCCUUACCAAAGUCAUAUUUUUGAUUAGAAUCAUUAGUCAUGCAAAACUCUCCAACCACAGUCAAACAUUUUCAAUUUCAGCCAUAAUCGUAAAAAUCGAUUGUUGUCUCCCACAAUGGUGUUCAGUAUUUCGAGUGAUUCUGAGCAUAUUUUUAUUAGCGUGUUAGUUUCAACGGCAUGCCAAAGUCCUUCAUGUUUAUAAAGUAAAAUGCUUUUAUUUUUUUUCCCUUACAUUGUCCACCUUUCCCAUCCAAUCGAUCCAUUUGAGCACUUUGCCUGAAGUUGGGCGUACACAUUGAGUGUUCUGUUUUUGUUUGCGCACCGACAAUGAGAUCUAGGUCGUUUGUAAUUCGUCACAAGGGGCUUGUUAAACAUACAUAGUACUGGGGGAUUAUGGUGCUGAAAUCCUUCUUCACGCAAAGUAUCACAGGGCCCCAUUAUUUCGACCUUGACUCACUUCCAUUUUCCACCUUAUGUAAGUUGUGUUUGGUUGGAGAGUGGAGGGGCUUUUCCCCUAAAGUGAAAUAAUAGGCUCCUACUGGCUUUGGCUUUAUUUAUGGUUGGGCUAGUUGUUGUUUUGCUUUCAUCUCGUGUCCCACCAAUGCCAUGUAUUUUAGCUUAAUGCAAUAAAAUUCCAACAUUUCUCCUGACUAUUUGAGUGUGUACUUUUAUUUCAUUUUGAUUUUACCCGUAGUUUUUUUAAGCCAGUUAGCUUGAAUAUUUCUUUUAGUUUGUUAGUUGGUUUUAGUAUAGUUUUUGUUUGUUGUAGCAUUGUUUGUUUUUUUUAUAUGUGGAGUGUUUGUCCCCACUCCACAUAUGUAAAAUAAGAAAAAGUCAUUAUUGUGCAAUAAAGUAAAGUUAACUCCAGUUUUAUUUGACCUUCCUUUUGCAGGGAUGUACAGCUAUACCGAAAAAGACUUAAAAUGAAAAUUGUGUGUUGUCUGAGGACUGCAGAUAAUGUUUGGCACAGCCAAGUUAAAAGCAGACAGACUGAGGAGCCUUUGAUCGCCCUGUCUGCAGGGCCCACAGCCAAACCCAUCCUCCCCCCACCACCUUCAGGUGAGCCCCGUUUGUGUGUGAAGGCGGCGGAACCGAAACGCGAAUCGCAGAGAAAGCGAAAGCGCUCGCCGACCA